AGAGCGAACGCUGGCGGCAGGCCUAACACAUGCAAGUCGAGCGCCCAGCAAGGGGAGCGGCAGACGGGAGAGUAACACGUGGGAACGUACCCUUCAGUUCGGAACAACCCAGGGAAACUUGGGCUAAUACCGGAUACGUCCGUAAGGAGAAAGAUUUAUCGCUGAAGGAUCGGCCCGCGUCUGAUUAGCUAGUUGGUGGGGUAAUGGCCCACCAAGGCGACGAUCAGUAGCUGGUCUGAGAGGAUGAUCAGCCUCAUUGGGACUGAGACACGGCCCAAACUCCUACGGGAGGCAGCAGUGGGGAAUAUUGGACAAUGGGCGCAAGCCUGAUCCAGCCAUGCCGCGUGGAUGAUGAAGGCCUUAGGGUUGUAAAGUCCUUUCGGCGGGGAAGAUAAUGACGGUACCCGCAGAAGAAGCCCGGCUAACUUCGCGCCAGCAGCCGC
rnacentral:rRNA from 1 species